UACGUAGGUGGCAAGCGUUGUCCGGAUUUACUGGGCGUAAAGGGCGUGCAGGCGGUUUGUUAAGUGCAGGGUGAAAGCUCCCGGUUCAACUGGGAGAGGUCCUUGCAUACUGGCAAGCUCGAGGGAGGCAGAGGAAAGUGGAAUUCCCGGUGUAGUGGUGAUAUGCGUAGAUAUCGGGAGGAACACCUGUGGCGAAGGCGGCUUUCUGGGCCUUACCUGACGCUGAGACGCGAAAGCGUGGGGAGCGAACAGG
rnacentral:rRNA from 1 species